GUACUUGGAAGCACAUAUACUAAGAUUGGAAUAACAGAUAAGACUAGCAGGGCUUCUUCAUGAAGAUGACGAAGAUGACACCUAAACUAGUGAAGAAUUCCAU
rnacentral:snRNA from 1 species